AUGGCUUUCUUCAAAAAUUGAGACAGAAGACCAAGAUUGGAGUGGUAGGUGGGUCAGAUUUUGAGAAGCUGCAAGAGCAACUGGGAAAUGAUGUGGUUGAGAAAUACGAUUAUGUGUUUCCAGAGAAUGGCUUGGUAGCGUACAAAGAUGGGAAGCUAUUGUGUAAACAGAACCUUAGGGACAGCCUUCCGUGAUCACUUCCCAGGCAGAGCUUCUCAUGCCUGUAAACGGUUCUGCAGCCUGACUCCUCGUCGGGAGCCUCCAGCCACUGUGUGUUUCCAUUGCACUACCCUUGGCUGCCCACAUGGGCACCUGCUGCUGGCGCCUGCACCUCUGUCCAUCCCCUCAGGAGAGUGCCAGGACCUCAGCCUGUGGCAUCCUUGGGUUUUAUAGCAGUGCUGUGAAACACUACAGGGACUGUCCCUCUCUUCUCAGUCAGAUCUCUUUAACCCUCAGUGUCUAAUGGGUGUCUACCCAGGUUUGCAGAGAAUUUGGGUUCUGAGGGCCUCUCCCGGCUCUGCUCUAGUGAUGCUGGAGCCCCUAUCUGUCCUGGCUGUGGCAGUUCCCAGCCGGCCCAGAGGCUGCGUGCUACCUGCAGGUCCAGUGCCUCCUGCCAUGUCAGGUGGACUCCAGGCCUUGCCAGUUCCUACAGCGGCUAUCACAGAUCCCCUCCCCCACUGGCUUCAUUCAACUGUCCCACCUAAUAAAGAGCCUCUGCUAAGUCAUACAUGGGUGGCCUUGCUGGUGGGAUGGUGUGGCUGCCCAGGUCCAAGGAUGACAACUACUAGACAGCCGUGGCUCAAGGCAAGGUCUGGCCUGUCUGUCAAGAGUGCAGUCCUGGGGUUGGGG
rnacentral:lncRNA from 1 species